rnacentral:tRNA from 1 species
AGAGUUGUGGCUCAGUGGUAGAGUGCUCGCCUUGCACGCAACAAGACCCUGGGUUCGAUCCUCAGCAUCACAU